rnacentral:rRNA from 1 species
AUACGAAGGGGGCUAGCGUUGUUCGGAAUUACUGGGCGUAAAGCGCGUGUAGGCGGAUCGUUAAGUCAGGGGUGAAAGCCCGGGGCUCAACCCCGGAACUGCCCUUGAUACUGGCGAUCUAGAGUCCGGAAGAGGUGGGCGGAAUUCCCGGUGUAGAGGUGAAAUUCGUAGAUAUCAGGAGGAACACCAGUGGCGAAGGCGGCUCACUGGUCCGGUACUGACGCUUAGACGCGAAAGCGUGGGGAGCAAACAGGAUUAGAAACCCUUGUAGUCC